CCUGAUUGUGCCCAGACAGACUGCGGCAUUUGGUGGCUCCCGCGGGGAGCGACUGAGGAUCCCAGAACCCAGACUGUCCUGCCCUCCCUCCACUGACUGAUUGGAUGCCUGAGGUUGUCACCAAGUACGUCUUCACCAGCCAGACAUCAAGAGCAGCUGAAAGGAACUCUGUGACCAAGAGAACAGGUGGACACCGCCGACAGCAACCUCUGCAGACUCACCACUCCCUCUGACCUUAACCUUGUCCGUCCAGUUUCUUGCUUUGUGAACUGAUGGUGUAGGUCCUAGGAUGAAGGCUGUCACCUGUCUAUCCCAAAGAGCCUUGCAGAGGGUGAAUGUGCAGCAGGAAGUCACAGCCCAAUGCCACAGCUUCUGAGCGCUGCUGUGUUCCCUCCCAGUCAAGUCGGUGCUUGUUGACCAACACAGUGGUACAGGCCAGGAAUCCCAGCAAGGGAGGCUGAGGCAGGAGGAUCCCAAGUUCAAGGCCAGCCUCAGCAACUGAGUAGGACACUGUUUCAAAAUAAAGUAAAAAGAUUGAGGAUGCCCUCAGUACUAGAGAUCUGGAUUCCAUCCCCAGCACCACAGAAAAUAAUGAUGAUGAUGAUGAUGAUGAUGAUGAUGAUGAUAAUAAUAAUAAAGAAUGCUUGUUUUCAAGCCACUCACUAGGG